CCUACGGGUGGCAGCAGGGAGGAAUAUUGGUCAAUGGACGAGAGUCUGAACCAGCCAAGAAGCGUGAAGGAUGAAGGACCGAAGGGUUGUAAACUGCGUUUAUAAGGGAAUAAAACAGGGUACGCAUACCCUCUUGUAUGUACCAUAUGAAUAAGGAUCGGCUAACUCCGUGCCAGCAGCCGCGGUAAUACGGAGGAUCCGAGCGUUAUCCGGAUUUAUUGGGUUUAAAGGGUGCGUAGGGGGAUUGUUAAGUCAGUUGUGAAGGUUUGCGGCUCAACCGUAAAAUUGCAGUUGAAACUUGCAGUCUUGAGUACAGUAGAGGUGUGCGGAAUUCGUGGUGUAGCGGU
rnacentral:rRNA from 1 species